rnacentral:rRNA from 1 species
ACGUGGGCAAUCUGCCCUUCACUCUGGGACAAGCCCUGGAAACGGGGUCUAAUACCGGAUACGACCACUGGAGGCAUCUUCGGUGGUGGAAAGCUCCGGCGGUGAAGGAUGAGCCCGCGGCCUAUCAGCUUGUUGGUGGGGUAAUGGCCUACCAAGGCGACGACGGGUAGCCGGCCUGAGAGGGCGACCGGCCACACUGGGACUGAGACACGGCCCAGACUCCUACGGGAGGCAGCAGUGGGGAAUAUUGCACAAUGGGCGAAAGCCUGAUGCAGCGACGCCGCGUGAGGGAUGACGGCCUUCGGGUUGUAAACCUCUUUCAGCAGGGAAGAAGCGAAAGUGACGGUACCUGCAGAAGAAGCGCCGGCUAACUACGUGCCAGCAGCCGCGGUAAUACGUAGGGCGCAAGCGUUGUCCGGAAUUAUUGGGCGUAAAGAGCUCGUAGGCGGCUUGUCACGUCGGAUGUGAAAGCCCGGGGCUUAACCCCGGGUCUGCAUUCGAUACGGGCAGGCUAGAGUGUGGUAGGGGAGAUCGGAAUUCCUGGUGUAGCGGUGAAAUGCGCAGAUAUCAGGAGGAACACCGGUGGCGAAGGCGGAUCUCUGGGCCAUUACUGACGCUGAGGAGCGAAAGCGUGGGGAGCGAACAGGAUUAGAUACCCUGGUAGUCCACGCCGUAAACGUUGGGAACUAGGUGUUGGCGACAUUCCACGUCGUCGGUGCCGCAGCUAACGCAUUAAGUUCCCCGCCUGGGGAGUACGGCCGCAAGGCUAAAACUCAAAGGAAUUGACGGGGGGCCCGCAC